CAGCUGGUGGAGUCUGGAGGGGACAUGAGGAGGCCUGGAGAAUCGCUCCAUCUCUCCUGCCAAGCCUCUGGCUUCACCUUCAGCAGCUGUUGGAUGAGAUGGGUGAGACAGGCUCCAGGAAAAGGACUCGAAUGGGUGGCAUACAUAAGCUGCAAUUCAGGUAGCAUUUACUACUCGGACAAAGUCAAGGGACACUUCACCACCUCCAGGGACAACUCCAAUACCCAGCUCUAUUUGCAGAUGAACAGCCUGAAGCCAGAGGACACGGCAGUCUAUUAUUGUGCAAUGAUCCUGUGGCUGAAUUUGGUUUCCUUCCUAGCAGUCCUCAGAGGUGUCCUGUCAGAGGCCCAGUUGGUGGAGUCCGGAGGGGACGUGAGAAGGCCUGGAGAGUCCCUCCGUCUCUCCUGCCAAGGCUCUGGGUUCGACUUCGGGAGCUAUGCCAUGUACUGGGUGAGACAGGCCCCUGGGAAAGGGCUGGAAUGGGUGGCAUCCAUAAGCUACAAUUCAGGUACCAUUUACUAUUCGGACAAAGUGAAGGGACGCUUCACCAUCUCCAGGGACAACUCCAAAAGCCAAGUCUAUCUGCAAAUGAACAGCCUGAAACUGGAGGACACGGCAGUCUAUUACUGUGCGAGGGACACAGUGGGAGGAAGUGAGUCUGAAGCCUGGCAAAAACCU